CCGGGCUCGCGCUACGGCCAGAUGAGCGACACAGCUCAAUUUGAAAUCUGGCCUCGGGCCUAGUUGUUCUUUGCGGAGCAACCUUCCCGGGCGCUACCUUCUGAGUCCACAGGAAUGCUGCGCCUUAGCCGGGGAGAGUGCCCGAUAGAUGGAUGCCUAGCCCGUGUAAAGCUCCUUCUACGAGUCAAGUCUUUUGGGAAUGCUGCUUCAAAUGGGAGGUAAAUUUCUUCUAAAAGCUAAAUAUCGGCCAUAGACCGAUCUACGCACAAGUAUAGUGAUCUAAAGAUGAAAAGCACUUUGAAAAGAAAGUUAAAUUCCCAUUUGAAAUUGUUGAAAGGGAAGCGCUUGUGACCAGACUUGAGCCGGGCUGAUCAUCCGGUGUUCUCACCGGGGGGCUCUGCCCGGCUCAGGCCACCCUCUGUUCUCGAGGGGGGAUAAAGGCCCCCGGAACCUACCUCCUCCGGGAGUGUGAUAGCCCUGGGUGUAAUGCCCUCUCGGGGGACCGAGGUUCUCGCAUCUGCGAGGAUACGGGCGUAAUGGGCACCAUCGACACCUCUUGUAAAAAAAGACCACAAA
rnacentral:rRNA from 1 species